AUGGUCCCAAUGGGACCAAAUCCGACCCUAAAUGGUCCCAAUGGGACCAAAACCGACCAUCAAUGGUCCCAAUGGGAGCAAAUUAGACCCUAAAUGGUCCCAGUGGGAGCAAAUCCGACCCUAAAUGGUCCCAGUGGGAGCAAAUCCGACCCCAAAUGGUCCCAGUGGGAGCAAAUCCGACCCUAAAUGGUCCCAAUGGGACCAAAUCGGACCCUAAAUGGUCCCAGUGGGAUCAAAUCAGACCCCAAAUGGUCCCAGGGGGAGCAAAUCCGACCCUAAAUGGUCCCCAUGGGACCAAAUCCGACCAUCAGUGGUCCCAAUGGGAGCAAAUCCGACCCUAAAUGGUCCCAAUGGGACCAAAUCCGACCAUCAAUGGUCCCAAUGGGAGCAAAUCCAACCCCUAAAUGGUCCCAAUGGGACCAAAUCCGACCAUAAAUGGUCCCAAUGGGACCAAAUCCGACCCCAAACCGUCCCAGUGGGAUCAAAUCCGACCCUAAAUGGUCCCAGUGGGAUCAAAUCCAACACCAAAUGGCCUGAAUGGGACCAAAUCCAACCCUAAAUGGUCCCAGUGGGAUGAAAUCCGACCAUCAAUGGUCCCAAUGGGAGCAAAUCAGACCCCAAAUGGUCCCAGUGGGAGCAAAUCCGACCCUAAAUGGUCCCAAUGGGACCAAAUCGGACCCUAAAUGGUCCCAGUGGGAUCAAAUCAGACCCCAAAUGGUCCCAGGGGGAGCAAAUCCAACCCCUAAAUGGUCCCAAUGGGACCAAAUCCGACCAUCAAUGGUCCCAAUGGGACCAAAUCCGACCCUAAAUGGUCCCAAUGGGACCAAAUCAGACCCUAAAUGGUCCGAGUGGGAUCAAAUCAGACCCCAAAUGGUCCCAAUGGGACCAAAUCCGACCAUCACUGGUCCCAAUGGGACCAAAUCUCACCCUAAAUGGUCUGAAUGGGACCAAAUCUGCCCCUAAAUGGUCCAAAUGGGACCAAAUCCAACCCCAAAUGGUCUGAAUGGGACCAAACCCGACCCUAAAUGGUCCGAAUGGGACCAAAUCAACCCCUAAAUGGUCAGAAUGGGACCAAAUCUGCCCCUAAAUGGUCCCAAUGAGAACAAAUCUGCCCCCAAAUGGUCUGAAUGGGACCAAAUCCAACCCCAAAUGGUCUGAAUGGGACCACAUCCGCCCCUAAAUGAUCUGAAUGGGACUAAAUCCGCCCCCAAAUGAUCCCAAUGGGAAAAAAUCUGCCCUUAAAU
ensembl:lncRNA